rnacentral:rRNA from 1 species
GAGUUUGAUCAUGGCUCAGGAUGAACGCCGGCGGUGUGCCUAAUACAUGCAAGCCGUACGCACUGGCCCAACUGAUUGAUGGUGCUUGCACCUGAUCGACGAUGGAUCACCAGUGAGUGGCGGACGGGUGAGUAACACGUAGGUAACCUGCCCUGUACAGGGGAUAACAAUCAGAAAUGACUGCUAAUACCGCAUAAGACCACAGCACCGCAUGGUGCAGGGGUAAAAACUCCGGUGGUACAGGAUGGACCCGCGUCUGAUUAGCUGGUUGGUGAGGUAACGGCUCACCAAGGCGACGAUCAGUAGCCGGCUUGAGAGAGUGAACGGCCACAUUGGGACUGAGACACGGCCCAAACUCCUACGGGAGGCAGCAGUGGGGAAUAUUGCACAAUGGGGAAACCCUGAUGCAGCAACGCCGCGUGAGUGAAGAAGUAUUUCGGUAUGUAAAGCUCUAUCAGCAGGGAAGAAAGUGACGGUACCUGACUAAGAAG